UACGUAGGGUGCAAGCGUUGUCCGGAUUUAUUGGGCGUAAAGAGCGUGUAGGCGGUUUGGUAGGUCCGCUGUGAAAACUCGAGGCUCAACCUCGAGACGCCGGUGGAAACCAUCAGACUAGAGUCCGGAAGAGGAGAGUGGAAUUCCUGGUGUAGCGGUGAAAUGCGCAGAUAUCAGGAAGAACACCCGUGGCUAAGGCGGCUCUCUGGUACGGUACUGACGCUGAGACGCGAAAGCGUGGGGAGCGAACAGG
rnacentral:rRNA from 1 species